rnacentral:rRNA from 1 species
AGUGAACGCUGGCGGUAGGCCUAACACAUGCAAGUCGAACGGCAGCACAGUAAGAGCUUGCUCUUACGGGUGGCGAGUGGCGGACGGGUGAGGAAUACAUCGGAAUCUACUUUUUCGUGGGGGAUAACGUAGGGAAACUUACGCUAAUACCGCAUACGACCUACGGGUGAAAGCAGGGGAUCUUCGGACCUUGCGCGAUUGAAUGAGCCGAUGUCGGAUUAGCUAGUUGGCGGGGUAAAGGCCCACCAAGGCGACGAUCCGUAGCUGGUCUGAGAGGAUGAUCAGCCACACUGGAACUGAGACACGGUCCAGACUCCUACGGGAGGCAGCAGUGGGGAAUAUUGGACAAUGGGCGCAAGCCUGAUCCAGCCAUACCGCGUGGGUGAAGAAGGCCUUCGGGUUGUAAAGCCCCUUUGCUGGGAAAGAAAAGCAGCAGGUUAAUACCCCGCUGUUCUGACGGUACCCAAAGAAUAAGCACCGGCUAACUUCGUG